rnacentral:rRNA from 1 species
AUGGUUCUUGAUCUCGUGCAGCGAGGGCGCUCUGUCGUGCUCCCCUCAGCCUCAUUUGCCUCCUCUUCCUAUUCCGCCAAGGCUGCCGGAUCUUCCGGCCUCAUCCCGAUGCAUGAUGAUGAACCGUCAGCGUGCGAGAACAAGGGUGGAGGUCGAGGAGGCCGAGCUGGGAAUCUUCGACCUCGUCCCAGUUGCGUAGCCUCAUGGCACUCGCGGCCGCUGCGCUUGGGGCUGCGGUCGCCGUCAGCGCUGGCAGAGGAGGUAGGCUCCAUGUGGAAGACGGUCAUGGCGCCGGCGAGGAUAGGGGCGAACUCUGUCGCGGGAUAA